GAACGCUAGCUACAGGCUUAACACAUGCAAGUCGAGGGGCAGCAUGAAUCAAGCUUGCUUGAUUUGAUGGCGACCGGCGCACGGGUGCGUAACGCGUAUCCAAUCUACCCAUGGCGUCAGGGAUAGCCUUGCGAAAGUAAGAUUAAUACCUGAUGGUCUCGCACUGGGACAUCCCUAUGCGAGUAAAGAUUUAUCGGCGAUGGAUGAGGAUGCGUCCGAUUAGCUAGUUGGCGGGGUAACGGCCCACCAAGGCUACGAUCGGUAGGGGUUCUGAGAGGAAGGUCCCCACACUGGAACUGAGACACGGUCCAGACUCCUACGGGAGGCAGCAGUGAGGAAUAUUGGUCAAUGGUCGGGAGACUGAACCAGCCAAGUAGCGUGAGGGAUGACUGCCCUAUGGGUUGUAAACCUCUUUGUUUGGGAAUAAAGUGCCGUACGCGUACGGUUUGUAUGUACCUUACGAAUAAGCAUCGGCUAAUUCCGUGCC
rnacentral:rRNA from 1 species